rnacentral:lncRNA from 1 species
CCUUCUCAUGUAGUAGGGUCAUGUACCAUGGUACCUUCCACCCUGUGUUCUCAGCCAUGGUGGUACUGGUGAAGUUAGACUUGUUCUGAUGUCCCUCUCUAGCUGCUCCGGGGUCAUCGCCAUGUAAAGUCCAAAGACGAAAAAUAACCCUGAAGGAAGGAGAGAUGACUAGAAAGAAUCCGGUUGACCGCUUUAUGUGUGGAUUAAUUGUUGGAGUAGAGGACCUUGUGCAUUUCAGGUAAAAUAACAACUCAAUGUUUAUAUCCCAGGACAAAUAAGCUAGCUAAAUUGCCAUAAAUGUUUAAUGCUUUUCGACCUGUCCCCAAAUUAAUAUAAUUGGUUGAGAGUUUGUUUUGAUAUUUCGUGUCAUGAUCGCGUUUGGAGUGAGGGGACAAAAUCAAUUUGCGCACGAUGGCGGAUGCACUCGCGCGUCUGGUUUGGGCAUGGUGUAAUGGUUGUUUAAAUCUAAAAUUAGCUUGACGCGUUUUCGGUUAUCCUACAGACUCAGCGCAUUGCUACAUGGUACUUGAAGGAGAAUUGGAGGUUAAUAAUUUAUUACACUGUUUAGAUUGAGCACAUUUAAACGAAAGCUAAACUUCGUCAUGACGAUAUAAACGGAUGGAUGUGUUCCAGAUGAGGAAGGCCAUCUAUUGGCUGAUUUGGCGGCCUGGAGUGUAGGUCAUUGUUUUAUGAAAUGUGAUCCCAUAUCUCCAGUGACAAUAAUUAUGUAGCUAUGAAGUGUUCUCACACGAUUUCCUGAUUUUCACAACUUGGAAGUUACAUCAUGGGGAAAUGUUGUAUUUUACCCACUGAUAGAACAUAAACAUUCACCAAAUAAACAGGAGUUAUGUUUUUUAUUUCUGGGGGUGGAUUAUCCCUUUAAACUGUAUAGUGGUUAAUCAGUAGCCUUGCCUCAACCUAGUCAAAAUGCGAACCAAGGCAGGGUAAAAGAUGCAUUAUUUGUGUAUGUAGAAAUAAGUAACAAACAAGGACAUAUUUUAAUCUUGAUGAAUGACUAUUUGUAAUUUUACGACAAGCUAAGAUGUUCUUUCCCUUUAGUUUACAAUGUCUGUUCUGCCUCUAGUGACUCAGCUGCCUUCUGAUGUUUAUUAAGUCUGCUAAACUCACUCCAAUUUUCACUGUUAUUGAAAUAUGAAAAACUAUGGCCUUGUCAUUAUUAAUUCAUGUUUGCUUGUUGGUAACUUAGACAGGCAAGGGCCUCCAAGUGGCGCAGCGUCUAAAAAUGCUGACCAGACCGCACGCGCGCAUCUGAGUGCACCAUCGCCCGCAUGUUGAUUUUGUCCCCCCACACCAGAGAUCAGGACAGCAGGUUGAUUUUGUCCCCCCACACCAGAGAUCAAAACACACAGGUUGAUUUUGUCCCCCCACACCAGAGAUCAGGACAGCAGGUUGAUUUUGUCCCCCCACACCAGAGAUCAGGACAGCAGGUUGAUUUUGUCCCCCCACACCAGAGAUCAAAACACGCAGGUUGAUUUUGUCCCCCCACACCAGAGAUCAGGACAGCAGGUUGAUUUUGUCCCCCCACACCAGAGAUCAAAACACACAGGUUGAUUUUGUCCCCCCACACCAGAGAUCAGGACAGCAGGUUGAUUUUGUCCCCCCACACCAGAGAUCAAAACACGCAGGUUGAUUUUGUCCCCCCACACCAGAGAUCAAAACACGCAGGUUGAUUUUGUCCCCCCACACCAGAGAUCAGGACAGCAGGUUGAUUUUGUCCCCCCCACACCAGAGAUCAAAACACACAGGUUGAUUUUGUCCCCCCACACCAGAGAUCAGAACACGCAGGUUGAUUUUGU